UGAAGAGGAGGGAAGCCAAAAAAAACCUAAGGUCCCUAAGCUAAAAAAAAGAGCUGAUGAGCACCGUUUAUACACAAGACCCCCACCCCACGUCGUCUUCUUCUCCAGAAGACCUAAUAGACAGACGUCCGCCGCUGAAUAUCAAAAAUAGAUCCCCCCAUCCCCCGUUCAUCAUCUUCUUCAGUCGUACUGUUCAUCUGCUAGACACCCAAAACCUAGGCAGCUUGAACACAAUACGUAGGGUCAGUCGCUGGAGCUCUUGACUACUGGAAUUCUCGACAGCCGCAAGAGUUCCCAAAAUCUUCAUCUCAUCUUCAUCUUCAACCUCCAGUACACUAGCGACCCUGAGCUAUUGCCGCCGACCACUCUUGUGCACGCCUCUCUUCUAAUCCCAUAUGAGAAAAACUGCCAUGAACGCUGGAGAACCCUAAGACGAAAACCUCUAAAAACUAGCAGCAGCCAUCGCCGCCUUCAUCUUCAUCGUCAGCCUGACCAUAUAUACAUGUUUUCCGAUAGCUCAUUUCUAGUACAUGUGAGGUUUGUUUCAGUUUCCUGUCGAAGUUGCCGUUCGAGGGCUCCAUCCAUGGUUUGUCAUGUCUGAGUUUAACGUUGCCUCACAACUAAUGUGUUGAUCCAUUUUGAGGUUUGGUUCCUCAUUUUUCAUACUCUGUUUGCUUAAUAGUGUACUUCCGUCAACUUUGUGGUUCACUGUUAUAUGAAUGUUUGAAUUAUUUGUUCGGUUUGCUCUUAUUCUUAUUUACUGUUUACAUUACAAAAUUUGGAGAUUUCCACUGGUGUUGUUUAUGUUUCCCUAUUGAUUGAAUGAAUAAUUUUGGGUGCUCUUUUAUAUUUAUUUAAACCUUGGAUGGACGAAGUUAUUUUUGACAUACAUUGCCAUGGAUUUUUAUUUGUUUACUCAUAAGCUUGUGUUGUUCAUUUUUGUGCUAGCGUGUUAAAAUAAUAAUUUGGUGCAAGUUACUGAAUUAACUAAUUUAGCUCCGGAAGUUUUGGAUAAUCAUUUUUAUAUCUAGCUCAUUCUAUUCUAUAAAUAUUUCAUUCAAUGUGCUGUAAGGUUUAGUAUGAAAAAUGGGUCAUGACUUUGUUCUGUUAAUACGUCGAACAUUUGGAUACUUAAUUGGUUGCGGUAGUAAAUUGGUAUCGAGGGAUUUUGGAGGCCAUUAAGAUUAAAUUGGGUUUGGGAUUGUUUGCUAGCUUACUUCUUCAACUAAUUUCCAUAGAUUCAUGGCCUUGCAAUUAUCUCAAAUUAAUUUAGGAGAAGUUUUCAAAUAUCCGUAGUUUUCUUUAGGCGCGAUUGAAUAUAGUGUCAUAGCUACCGGUACGGUUCCCGUGACGUAGUUGUGAUAAACAAUUUCUAAAAUUCGGGGGUACAUUAUGUGACCCGGCCCCAAUUUAUUCUUUUUAAUUAAAAUACAAAUAUUGUGGAUCGUGGGUAUAUUUUCCGUGACAUGAUCCGCAAUGUGUAAUCAUUAAUUAGUUGUAUAAUAAUCAGGUUAUUAAAAGCGUAGGAAUAAAAAUACACAUAGAUUUCAAAGAUAUUUUAAAAUCAAAUAUAUAGGCCAAUAAUAACAGUUGAGCGACUGUGCUAAAACCACGGAACCCAGGAAUGCCUAACAGUUUCUCCCGGGUUAAUAAAAUUCCUUACUCGGAUUUCUGUGUUCGCAAACCGUGAACAGAGUAAAUCUUUCCUCGAUUCGGGAUUUAAACCGGUGAUUUGGGACACCAUAAAUUAUCCUAAGUGGCAACUCAGAUUUUUAAAUAAUAAUCCCAUUUUGAUUGUCACUUAAAUUGGAAAAAACUCCCUUAUGCCCCUUCCGUGUGGUAAAAAAGGAGGUGUGACAGUGUUCCUCCUGCACGGGGUGCUUUUAGCGAUCAAUCUAGCAGACCUGGCACGACUCAGCCACAUCAGCCACGCCCUCCCAGAGCUUGUUUUGAGUGUGAUGACAAUCGCCAUAUAGUGAGGGAUUGCCCUAAACUUAGGAGGGGUGCACCUCCACAGACUUCUCAGCCACAACGUGCUCCACAGAGUUCCCAGGCUAUGAGUACAACACCAACUUCCACUUUACCUACUCAGCCAGCUCGAUCUGUCAUAGAGAUACAUCGGUUCUAUUCGAUCCAGGCUCCACUUAUUCCUACAUGUCACCUUAUUUUGCCUCGUAUUUGGGCAUAUCCCGGGAUUCUUUGUGUUCCCCUAUUUAUGUGUCUACUAUUGUAGGAGAUUCUCUUGUUGUGGAUCGCGUGCCUCGGUUGUGUUUGAUUACUUUUAGUGGUUUUGAGACCAGAGCCAAUUUAUUAUUGCUCAGCAUGGUAGACUUUGUUUUAUUUUGGUCCUGGACUGGUUGUCGCUCUAUUAUGUUAUUCUUGAUUAUCAUGCCAAGAUCGUGACACUGGCUAUUCUAGGUUUAGCACUAUUAGAGUGGAGGGUUACCUUAGAUUACACUCCCAACAGAGUUAUUUCAUUCUUAAAGCUCAACGAAUGGUUGGGAAGGGGUGUGACGCGUAUCUAGCUUAUGUAAAAGAUGUUAGUAUUGAUACCUGUAUAGUUGAAUUAGUCCCAGUAGUGAGGGACUUCCUAGAUGUGUUUCCAACUGAUCUUUAGGCAUGUCGCCUGACAGAGAUAUUGACUUUGGUGUUGAUUUGUUGCUGGGCACUCAACCCAUUCUCUAUUCCUCCUUAUCAUAUGGCCUCUCCUAAGUUGAAGGAGUUGUAGGAAUAGUUAAAAGAAUUGCUUGAUAAGGGCUUCAUUCAGCCCAGUGUGUCACCUUGGGGUACUCCUGUUUUUUCUGUGAAGAAAAAGGAUGGUUCUAUGCGAAUGUACAUUGAUUAUCGCUAGUUGAACAAAGUUACAGUGAAGAACCGAUAUCCUUUGCCUCAUAUUGAUGACCUAUUUGAUCAGUUACAGGGUGCUAGAGUAUUUUCCAAUAUUAGCUUACGUUCAAGCUAUCAUCAGUUAAAGAUUCAGGAGCCAGAUAUCCCGAAGACUGCUUUCAGGACUCGAUUUGGUCAUUACAAGAUCUUUCUGAUGUCAUUUGGACAGACCAACGACCCAUCAACAUUUAUGCAUUUGAUGCAUAGUGUAUUUCGGUCUUAUCUUGAUAUAUUCAUCAUUAUGUUUAUUGACGGCAUUCUGGUGUAGUCCCACUGUCGGGAGGAUCAUGAGCAGCACCUGAGGACUGUGGUUUAGACCUUGAGAGAAAAUAAUUUAUAUGCAAAGUUCUCAAAAUGUGAGUUCUGGUUAGAUUCUGUGGCAUUUUUGGGACACGUAGUGUCGAGUGAAGGGAUCAAGGUGGAUCCGAAGAAAGUGGAAGUAGUGCAGAGUUGGCCCAGACUAUUCUCAGAUACAAGAUCUUGAGUUUUCUUGGUUUGGCGGGGUAUUACCAUCAAAUUGUUGAGGGAUUCUCAUCUAUUGCAGCAUCUAUGACUAGGUUGACACAGAAGGGUGCUCUGUUCAGGUGGACGGAGGAGUGUGAGGAGAGCUUUCAAAAGCUCAUGGCAGCUUUGACUAUAGCUCCAAUAUUGGCAUUUCUUACAGGUUUGGGGUCUUAUACUGUUUAUUGUGAUGCGUCGUGGAUUGGCCUUAGCGCGGAGUUGAUACAGGACCGUAGGGUGAUAGCCUAUAUGUCCAGACAGCUGAAGGUGCAUGAAAAUGACUAUCCUGUCCACAUUCUUGAGUUAGCAGCUAUUGUCCAUACCUUGAGGAAUUGGAGGUACUAUUUGUAUGAUGUCCCUUGUGAGAUCUACACUAAUCACCAGAGUUUACAACAUCUAUUCAAGCAGAAGGAUCUUAACUUGCGUCAACGGAGGUGGUUAGAGCUACUUAAGGAUUAUGAUAUCCCUAUUCUGUACCAUCCCGGGAAGGCCAAUGUGGUGGCCGAUGCCUUGAGUCACAGGGCGGAGAGUUUAGCAUAUUUGCCAAUAGUAGAGAGGCCAUUAGCACUGGAUGUUCAGGCCUUAGCCAACCAGUUUGUUAGAUUGGAUAUUUCUAAGCCGAGUCGAGUUUUGGCUUGUGUGGUCUCCCAGUCUUCUCUAUAUCAUCGUAUCAAGGAGCUUCAGUAUGAUGACCCAUAUCUGCUCAUCCUUAAGGACACGGUUCAGCACGGUGAUGCUAAGGAGUUCACUAUUGGGGACGAUGGUGCAUUGAGGAUGCAUGGUAGGCUAUGUGUUCCCAAUGUAGAUGGAUUGCGUAAGUUGAUUCUUCAGGAGGAUCACAGAUUGCGGUACUCCAUUCAUCUAGGUGCCACAAAGAUGUAUCAGCACUAGAGGUAGCAUUAUUGGGGGCAUAGAAUGAAGAAGCACAUAGUUGAAUAUGUAGCCCGGUAUCUAAAUUGCUAGCAUGUGAAGUAUGAGCAUCAACGGUCGGGUGGAUUGCUUCAGAAGUUAGAGAUUUCAGAGUGAAAAUGGGAGCAGAUCACUAUGGAUGUCAUUGUUGGACUCCCACGGACUUAGCGAAUGUUUGAUGUAGUUUGGGUGAUUGUAGAUAGGCUGGCCAAGUUAACUCAUUUCCUUCUUAUGAUGACUACCUAUUCUUCUAAGCAGCUGGCUCGAGUUUAUAUCUGCGAGUUUGUCAGGCUUCAUGGUGUACCGGUAUCUAUCAUCUCUAACUGGGGGACACAGUUUACAUCAUGGUUCUGGAGGGCCUUACAGUAUGAGUUAGGUACCCGAGUGGAGUUGAGUACGGCAUUUCACCCACAGACGGACGAACAGUCCGAGCAUACGAUUCAGAUUCUAGAGGAUAUGCUCUGUGUGUGUGAUGGAGUUUGGAGGUUCUUGGGGUAAGUUCUUUCCACAGUGAGCACGUGAUUUUUCCCCUAUAUGAAUUACUCCCAUAAAUUCAAACAAAUAACUUUUUCCCAGUAUUUGCAAUUUUGUGGAUAUUUAUGGCAUUUUUCCGUUAAUUGCUUGCACUUGUCUUCGCAUCUUUAAUUUUAUUUAAUUUAUAAAAAAUACAAAAAAUAUGUGGCAUUUGCAUUUAAGAUUUAAUUUUAUAUUUAUUAGUAAAUUAGUGUUUCAUAAAAUUGGAAAAUUACCAAAAAAUAACCAAUUUUGCAUUUUAUUAUUUAAUUUCGAAUUUUGGUAGUUUUCUUUAAAUUUGGUUUUUUAAUAGUUAUGUUAAUUAUUAUUUAGAAUGAAUAUUUUUGAUAGGCUAAUUUGGUUUUAAUAUUUAAUUUAGGUUUUUGUUUUUAAUUUUGAAAAAAAAAGGAAUUAAAAAGAGUUUGAAAAUAAAAAAGAAAAUUGAAUUGAAAGAGAAAGGAAAACAAAGAGGGGAGUCUGAAUUGGGCUAGAACUAUUUAAUUCCCCCCCCCCCUCCCUAACCCAAAUGAAAUUUCCCCCAUACCCGUUUUGACCCCAAGCCUAGAUCCGCCCCCACCUAGUCCAUUCCUCACCAUAACUCAAAAUGACACCAUUUUGCUAUAUCUCAUCUCAACCGUUGAAUCAACAAGAUCCAACGAACCGGAACUGACCCCUCCCCCGUAUAUAACUGUUUGAAGACCUCACCCCCUACACCCGCCUCCCUCAUUUCUCGUCUCCUUCAGAGACUGAACAAAAAAAACCCCAAAGCUGCCCUGAUUUCUCCACUCGCCGGCCGGCGGUGCCGGUCCCAAAUAACUCCAAAUUAACACCACAGAAACCUUAUACCCUCCUCUUCCCUAAUCUCCAAUUCUUUUCCUUCGAAUCCCUAUAGAGCUUCUCGAAUCUUAAAUCCAAGAUUCAAUCCCUAAAAACCCAAAGCCAAAUUCAUACACGCAAGGCUGUUCCUCCAAGUUUUUUUAGUUAUUCAAGGUUGGUUUUGUCACAAAAUAAUGUUGUUCUUGAUAAAAAACAAGCGAUUGACAUUAUUUGAGGUUUAAAUCGGAAUAUCUGUCGCGAGUUCGAGCCUGGGUAAGUGAGUUCCUUCUAUCCUUUUGUUCAUUCUUGUGAUCUUUCAGCCUUAUUUCCUCUUCUCUUCUUCUCUUUUUCUUUGGAUAAUUCAAUUGAAAAUUGACCAAAGUUUCUGGUCGAGAUGGAGUACUGUCUGUUUGUUCCUUGUUAGUUUUCUUUUCCAAGUCUUGUUCUCUGAUGUUGCUUGGUUUGUUUAAUUUUCAUGUUAAUAGCAUGACUAAAUUUCUGAUUUCACCCUGUUUGUUCAGCCUUUUAGGUUAACUUAAUUAGCUAUAUUUGAUAACUUAGUUCAAUUCCGCAUUUUAGUUUAGGUUUUAGUCUUGUGAAAUCGUUUAGUUGUUUUCUUACUAUUUGCCAUAAUUUGCUCAAUAUGGUUCAAUUCAUUUUGUUGUUCGGGCUCUGAAUCUAUUUCAAAAUUCACUCCAAGGGACUUGAAUUGAGUUUUGAGUCCAGGCCUGGUUGAAUCAUUGGGUCAAUUUUACCCUGACCCAUUUGAGUUCCCGGGGGUAAAUAAUAGGGUUUAAAGGGGUAGUUUAGGAUGUCUAGGUAGAGAAUCUCUGAUUAACUGAUUGAGGAAGCUUCUUGGAAGCUGGGGUGGAGACCGAACUGAAAAUUUGUUUUUUACACUAAGGAUAUCUAGGCAAAAAUAAAAAAUUGAAAAGGUUUAAGGUGCAAAGUUUAGCUCAUUUCUGCAGUCCUAAUACCCUGCCUAUAAAGACAUCUUUACUUCACUAUCAAGGCAGAAAAAAAUAGAGAUUAAAAGACUGAAAAGAAAUGGCUGAGUAUUUUGGAGUGAAUUCGAAGAUAACACUGAAAAUGCUGGAUUCUCUUUGUUAAAAUUGCUCAAAUCUCACUUGGUUUCAGCUCCCUGAUCUUCUGUGUUAGUUUAAAAUUUCUGAAAAAGUUUUCAAGUCUUUACACUUUGUUAGAAAUGGCUUGAAUUUGGGAUUUCAAGAGUGGUUUUAAGCUUUGCUGUUGGGGUUACUGUUGCAUUGCUUGGAUCUGAAUUGAUUUCAGCCACUGCUGUCUACUGAUUCUUCACUUCUUUUGUUUCUCUUUUAUUCCCAGGUAUUUACUGACUCUUGAAGUGACAUAUGAGUUGCAAAUGUGAAAGUCAUGUAAUCAAAUUGAAGAGAAAUGACAAAUGCUAGUUUUUUGUUGUCAAAUAACUACUUGAGUUUAUUAUAUUUUGUCCAUGUGUCCUCCAAUUUAGUUUCAUUAUGUAUAUUUCAUUCAUGUUGUUAGUGUUAUAUUUCAUUUUGAGGUUUGUAUUUGGGGUUUGUUUGAAUGUUGUUCGGGUUUAAGAAUGUCUUUAGGCUUAAGAUGAUAUGUAUAAGUUGAGGAUUAUGAUUCCUCUAGUCUGAUUUGGUUAAGUCUUGCUGAACUUUAGAGCUAUUCUUUUAUAGUCGUGUUUAAGUAUCCAUCAUAUUUGUUCUUUCAUGUGUUUCUCUUUAGAAAAUCUGAUAUGCUUUGUUUUCCUAUUCACUAGCUUCUUGUAUGCUAGAUUGUUUUCCAUGGUCUGAAGAAUAGCUUAGCCACUUCAGUUCUAGUAUCCUGC
rnacentral:lncRNA from 1 species